rnacentral:rRNA from 1 species
CCUACGGGUGGCAGCAGUGAGGAAUAUUCGGCAAUGGGGGCAACCCUGACCGAGCAACGCCGCGUGGAGGAUGACGGUUUUCGGAUUGUAAACUCCUUUUCUCAGGGAAGAGCGAGGACGGUACCUGAGGAAUAAGUCACGGCUAACUACGUGCCAGCAGCCGCGGUAAUACGUAGGUGGCAAGCGUUAUCCGGAAUUACUGGGCGUAAAGCGCACGCAGGUGGCUGCUUAAGUCUGACGUGAAAGCUCCUGGCUUAACUGGGAGAGGUCGGUGGAGACUGGGCGGCUUGAGGCGAGGAGAGGGGUGUAGAAUUCCCGGUGUAGUGGUGGAAUGCGUAGAGAUCGGGAGGAAUACCAGUGGCGAAAGCGGCACCCUGGCCGUGGCCUGACGCUCAGGUGCGAAAGCGUGGGGAGCGAACGGGAUUAGAUACCCGAGUAGUC